rnacentral:rRNA from 1 species
ACAACAGCUCAAAUUUGAAAUCUGGCCCCCAGGGCCCGAGUUGUAAUUUGCAGAGGAUGCUUUUGGCGCGGUGCCUUCCGAGUUCCCUGGAACGGGACGCCAUAGAGGGUGAGAGCCCCGUCUGGUCGGACGCCUAGCCUGUGUAAAGCUCCUUCGACGAGUCGAGUAGUUUGGGAAUGCUGCUCUAAAUGGGAGGUAUAUGUCUUCUAAAGCUAAAUACCGGCCAGAGACCGAUAGCGCACAAGUAGAGUGAUCGAAAGAUGAAAAGCACUUUGAAAAGAGGGUUAAAUAGUACGUGAAAUUGUUGAAAGGGAAGCGCUUGUGACCAGACUUGGGCCCGGUGGAUCAUCCAGCGUUCUCGCUGGUGCACUCCGCCGGGUUCAGGCCAGCAUCAGUUCGCCGCGGGGGAAAAAGGCUUCGGGAACGUGGCUCCUACGGGAGUGUUAUANCCCGUUGCAUAAUACCCUGGGGCGGACUGAGGUUCGCGCUCCGCAAGGAUGCUGGCGUAAUGGUCAUCANCGACCCGUCUU